AGUUAUUCUUAAAUGAUGCUUAAAUUAAGGUUUUUCACAAUGUUUACACUGCAAACUUAACUGUCGAUAAUAUUCAGACUGAGGAGCGAAACAUUAGCUACAAUGGUUCUCAAUUUUUGAGAACGAUAUUUCCGUUGGAUAGCAUCAAGUAAGCCCUUCAUUAUUAUCUGGCUUUUUUAUCAAGUAUCUUUAUUGAUCACAGGUAUAUGUUUUAAUUAUCCAACAGUAGCAAAUGAAAAUUAUUAUCACUUGCAUUUACUACUUAAUGCUUAUGUAGUAGAUUUGCAAAGCUAAUUUUAAGGGGGCUGAGUAAUGAAUAUGAAAUAUGGAGAUAUAUCGA
rnacentral:misc_RNA from 1 species